rnacentral:rRNA from 1 species
GGNGCUCUCCCNUAUGGUCGACCUGCAGGCGGCCGCGAAUUCACUAGUGAUUAGAGUUUGAUCCUGGCUCAGAUUGAACGCUGGCGGCAGGCCUAACACAUGCAAGUCGAACGGCAACAGGAAGCAGCUUGCUGCUUUGCUGACGAGUGGCGGACGGGUGAGUAAUGUCUGGGAAACUGCCUGAUGGAGGGGGAUAACUACUGGAAACGGUAGCUAAUACCGCAUAACGUCGCAAGACCAAAGAGGGGGACCUUAGGGCCUCUUGCCAUCGGAUGUGCCCAGAUGGGAUUAGCUAGUAGGUGGGGUAACGGCUCACCUAGGCGACGAUCCCUAGCUGGUCUGAGAGGAUGACCAGCCACACUGGAACUGAGACACGGUCCAGACUCCUACGGGAGGCAGCAGUGGGGAAUAUUGCACAAUGGGCGCAAGCCUGAUGCGGCCAUGCCGCGUGUAUGAAGAAGGCCUUCGGGUUGUAAAGUACUUUCAGCGGGGAGGAAGGGAGUAAAGUUAAUACCUUUGCUCAUUGACGUUACCCGCAGAANAAGCACCGGCUAACUCCGUGCCAGCAGCCGCGGUAAUACGGAGGGUGCAAGCGUUAAUCGGAAUUACUGGGCGUAAAGCGCACGCAGGCGGUUUGUUAAGUCAGAUGUGAAAUCCCCGGGCUCAACCUGGGAACUGCAUCUGAUACUGGCAAGCUUGAGUCUCGUAGANGGGGGGGUANAAUUCCAGGUGUANCGGUGAAAUGCGUANAGAUCUGGGAGGAAUACCGGUGGCNAANGCGGCCCCCUNNACGAAGACUGACGCUCANGUGCNNNAGCNUGNGNAGCAAACAGGANUUAGAUACCCUG